CCAGACGCUGGCUCUUGACAAAGAACCUGCUUGUUCUCCAGGUCUGGGGAUGUCUGCUGGGAAGGCAAGUAUGCAGAUGACAACCUGCUGUUCACAUCUUGUGUUGAUGCUUUGUGAAAUAGCAGUCCAUCUUUGAGGAAGAUAAUUUAGUUCAAGUUUGUACACUGCCUGUUAUGAUUUCACUGAAGUCCAAUCCCUCUGGAUUACCUAGUUAGCUGCAAAGCUCAUGCUGAAGGCAGUGACAGUUUUUCCUGUGAACUAGUUUCAAGAUUAGAUAGACAACAUACGUGGAUUAAGAGGAUCAGUCUGUGACUUGGCCUGUGAAGAGAAUCUGGGUCUGCCCUGCAGUAGUGCUGUGAAAAUUGUUGAAUUGCUCUCAGCCUUUAAAAGCAUUUCCCAUAAUGUGUAGAACAUUUACGGGGGAUCUUCUGACCUCUUCGUGGUGCCCACUUGCUUCAGUGAGUCUACAGCAAGCAGGACUGCCGAAGUUAUCCUGAACCCUGUAAGAUGAGAAAAUCUGUAGUUUUCCUGAAAAAAUGUAACAUCGGUUUCAAAGAAAAAGACAUGCCACUUCAGCUUGCCACCAUCUACCUCGUACUUGGAAGACUUUAAAUCUCGUAUCCUGAAGAGUAACUCAGCACACUGUAAUGCCUCUUUGCUG
rnacentral:lncRNA from 1 species